GAAGACGGGGAGGAGAGGAGGGUGAAGACGGGGAGGAGAGGAGGGUGAAGACGGGGAGGAGAGGAAGGUGAAGACGGGAGGAGGUGGUCUGGAUAUAUGCAUUAUGAACAGGUUGUAAUAGAACAUAAGCCGUAAUACAUAGACAAACAUGGUAGUGUGUUAAGGUGUUCCAGGAGAGAGGUUGGGGGUUGAGUGGCUGGUUACAGAAAGACCCCAGCCUAAGUUACCCAGGAAGGUUAGGAAGGAGGUAAACUACCAGGGAGCUAGCUGUGAGGAGAGGUGCUGCUGAGGGGAGGGGAGAGGUGCUGCUGAGGGGAGAGGAGAGGUGCUGCUGAGGGGAGAGGAGAGGUGCUGCUGAGGGGAGAGGAGAGGUGCUGCUGAGGGGAGAGGAGAGGUGCUGUUGUGAGGAGAGGUGCUGUUGUGAGGAGAGGUGCUGUUGUGAGGAGAGGUGCUGUUGUGAGGAGAGGAGAGGUGCUGUUGUGAGGAGAGGACAGGUGCUGCUGAGGGGUUAUGAGGAGAGGAGAGCAGGAGGAGAGGAGAGGUGCUGCUGAG
ensembl:lncRNA